rnacentral:rRNA from 1 species
UACAGAGGGUGCGAGCGUUGUCCGGAAUCACUGGGCGUAAAGGGCGCGUAGGUGGCGGGAUAAGCGUGCGGUGAAAGCCCGGGGCUCAACCCCGGGUCUGCCGUGCGGACUGUUUCGCUCGAGCGUAGUAGAGGCAGGUGGAAUUCCGGGUGUAGCGGUGGAAUGCGUAGAGAUCCGGAAGAACACCGGUGGCGAAGGCGGCCUGCUGGGCUACUGCUGACACUGAGGCGCGACAGCGUGGGGAGCAAACAGG